rnacentral:rRNA from 1 species
GAUGAACGCUGGCGGCGUGCCUAAUACAUGCAAGUCGAACGCUGAAGGAGGAGCUUGCUCUUCUGGAUGAGUUGCGAACGGGUGAGUAACGCGUAGGUAACCUGCCUGGUAGCGGGGGAUAACUAUUGGAAACGAUAGCUAAUACCGCAUGACAACAGUUAUUGCAUGAUAACUGUUUAAAAGGGGCAACUGCUCCACUACCAGAUGGACCUGCGUUGUAUUAGCUAGUUGGUGAGGUAACGGCUCACCAAGGCGACGAUACAUAGCCGACCUGAGAGGGUGGUCGGCGACACUGGGACUGAGACACGGCCCAGACUCCUACGGGAGGCAGCAGUAGGGAAUCGUCGGCAAUGGACGGAAGUCUGACCGAGCAACGCCGCGUGAGUGAAGAAGGUUUUCGGAUCGUGAAGCUCUGUUGUAAGAGAAGAACGAGUGUGAGAGUGGAAAGUUCACACUGUGACGGUAGCUUAACAGAAAGGGACGGCUAACUACGUG